GACGAACGCUGGCGGCGUGCUUAACACAUGCAAGUCGAACGGAAAGGCCCUGCUUUUGUGGGGUGCUCGAGUGGCGAACGGGUGAGUAACACGUGAGUAACCUGCCCUUGACUUUGGGAUAACUUCAGGAAACUGGGGCUAAUACCGGAUAGGAGCUCCUGCUGCAUGGUGGGGGUUGGAAAGUUUCGGCGGUUGGGGAUGGACUCGCGGCUUAUCAGCUUGUUGGUGGGGUAGUGGCUUACCAAGGCUUUGACGGGUAGCCGGCCUGAGAGGGUGACCGGGCACAUUGGGACUGAGAUACGGCCCAGACUGCUACGGGAGGCAGCAGUGGGGAAUAUUGCACAAUGGGCGGAAGCCAGAUGCAGCAACGCCGCGUGCGGGAUGACGGCUUUCGGGUGGUAAACCGCUUUCGCCGGUGACGAAGCGUGAGUGACGGUAAUGGGUAAAGAAGCACCGGCUAACUACGUG
rnacentral:rRNA from 1 species